AGAGUUUGAUCAUGGCUCAGAAUCAACGCUGGCGGCGUGCCUAACACAUGCAAGUCGAGCGAGAAAGGGGCUUCGGCCCUGAGUAAAGCGGCGCACGGGUGAGUAACACGUGGGUAAUCUGCCCUAGAGUGGGGAAUAACACCGGGAAACCGGUGCUAAUACCGCAUACGAUCGCGAUGUCUUCGGAUGUUGUGAUGAAAGGAGCAAUUCGCUCUUGGAGGAGCCCGCGGCUGAUUAGCUAGUUGGUGAGGUAAUGGCUCACCAAGGCUGCGAUCAGUAGCCGGUCUGAGAGGACGGUCGGCCACACUGGAACUGAGACACGGUCCAGACUCCUACGGGAGGCAGCAGUGGGGAAUUUUUGGCAAUGGGGGCAACCCUGACCAAGCAACGCCGCGUGGGUGAUGAAGUCUCUUGGGACGUAAAACCCUUUCGACGGGGAAGAAAACCGCAAGGUUUGACGGUACCCGUAGAAGAAGCCCCGGCUAACUCCGUGCCAGCAGCCGCGGUAAUACGGGGGGGGCAAGCGUUGUUCGGAAUUACUGGGCGUAAAGGGCGCGUAGGCGGUUCGCUAAGUUGGAUGUGAAAACUCUGGGCUCAACCCAGAGCCUGCAUCCAAAACUGGCGGGCUAGAGUUCUGGAGGGGGUAGCGGAAUUCCUGGUGUAGCGGUGAAAUGCGUAGAUAUCAGGAGGAACACCGGUGGCGAAGGCGGCUACCUGGACAGAAACUGACGCUGAGGCGCGAAAGCUAGGGGAGCAAACAGGAUUAGAUACCCUAGUAGUCC
rnacentral:rRNA from 1 species